GCCUGUUUCAAUGGCAAUUCGGAAACUUCUGUCUCCCAACCGGCCAAUCCAGAGCUGCCUGAUUCAAAGGGCACGAUCUCCUAGCCUCGGGGUGCGUCGCUUCUUGAGAAACGGAGUUACGCCUAGCAGUGGCUUUCUGGCCCUUCGUUUGGGGACUACAAAGACCAGAAUUCUUCGCGCCCACGUGUUAGGGGCGGGCCCUCAGGCAGCCUAUCAGUGGUCAGAAGCCGCCCGGGGCCCGGAUGCAGGAGGCGGGCUGUAGAGGAGGAGAAGGCCGUGAUUGGGUGGUUCUGGCCAGCUCGGGUGUCGCGUUCUCGUGGCAUGCGGAGGGCGGGGUCUCCGGGCCGUGCCGGGAGAGCAGGCCGGCGGCGUUCGUGGGUACCGAGCGGAGUGUAGGCGCUGAGGCCGGAAGCGGCCCUGCUCCGAGAGGCGUCGGUAGCCGCUCUGGCCCGGCUCGCGGGAAGCCCGGUCGACAGGAGGGACAGGCAAGGGCCCCGCUGCCUCCCUGCGUGUGUGAGACCAGAGCCUCUCCCCAGACCUGCUCACUGACAGCCUACAUUGCAUCUCCGCUUGGAUGUCCAGAGAGAUCUUGAGAGUUAUUUUGGCCAAAUUGAGCUCUUGGUCUUUUCCCCGAAACCUGUUUCUCCCACGUUCUUCUCAGUAAAUGCCGCUUCUAUCCUUGUCAUUGCUUAGACCAAAAGCUUUGGAGUUGUCCUUGACUCUCCUUUGUCUUAUGACUGUGUGUGGUCUAUCAGCAAAUACCUUCAAAGUAUAUUCAGAACCUGUCCAUUUCCUCCCAGCUCAUUCCUGUCACCCUGUCCUGUCCAUCCUCAUCUCCUGCCUAGACCAUCAUGGCAGCCUCCUCGGUGGUCCCCUUGUUCCUCACAGUCAGUUUGUCACAUGCAGUCAGAGGGAUGCUGUGAACACCUGCAUCAGGUCACAUCUCUGCCCUGUUCAGGACACUCAUGUGGCCCCAUGUCACAGAGAGAGAAUGCAAGAGUCUUCUCCAUGGCCUCAAGGCCCUGCGUGAUCCGUUCCCGUUACCUCUCUGACAUCAUCUACUCCUCUCUCCUUGUUCACUCUGCUCCAGCCACUCUGGCCUCAGGGCCUUUGCGCUUGCUGUUCUCUUUACCUGGAGCACUCUUCUCCCAAAUAGUCAAGGCUCCCCUUCACCUUCUCUAGAUCUUUUCUCAGAUGUCACCUUCUCCUUGAGAUCUUCCUUGACCACCUUCUGUAAUGGUACGACUAACAUUCAUCUGUUAACUUCCCGUUAACUUCUUUCUUAGCACUUAUCGUAUCAUUACUUAACACACUAUAUAGUUGAUUUAUCUGUCUUACUUAUUGUCUGUCUCUCCUCUCGUCCAGCAGACCACAGGCUUCAUGAGGGCAGGGGCUGUUGACUACUUCAUGCUUUGUAUCCAACACCUAGGAGAGCUCUUGGCACACACAGGCUCAGUAACUAUUUGUUGAAUGAAUGGAUGGAUGGAUGGAUGAUUUCAGAGCACAGCCCCUGACCUGGCAUCCUGGGGACUCUGUUGAUCUUCUUUCCACAGAACUUUAAGGGGCUGCCUUCCAGUUUUUUGAGGUCUCAGACCUUCAACAAAUAUUUCAUCUCGCCUCUGCUCUGUGCUCAGCGUUGGGAGCACAGCAGAGAACAAAACGGUUUCCCUGUCCCCAGAGAGCUCUCGGUCUCGGGCUGGGGUUCAGAUCACGCGCUCAUCACACACACAUGAAAUUACGAAGAAAGGGGGAGGGCGCUAGGAACACGCUGGACAGGAAGUCUGACGUGGCCCCCGGAAGUGAGGUUUGAGGCGAUGAAGGAAUAGGCCUUAGCUCCAUUAAGAGGUAACAGGAUGUAGGGUCGGGGGGGCACCUAGAGGCCGAGGGGGAGCCAAGGGCUGCACCACGCAGAUGCUGAAGGAGUUUGGGUCCUUACGCCUGGGGAGUGGAGGUUGUAGGGAAUUCUAGGCAGUGGAAGGAGGCGUUUUCAGUUACGUGUGCUGAAAGGUCCUCUGGCUGUUGCGUAUGGAGUUAACUUUAGGGGCUGAAGGACUGACGUAGAGACCCGUGACGAGGCUGUUAGCAUGAGACUGACACAGCUGGUACUAAAGAAGGCCGCACGCUCUUUGCUGUUUCUGCCGUCAGGAGGUGGAGUCCCCUCCCCUUUCACCUGGGCUGCCCUGUCAUUUGUUUGGACCAGUAGAAGGUGGUGGAAGUGAUGCUGUGCAGGCUGGGGGCCCGGGCCACAAAAGGCCUGGCAGCUCUGCUCUCACUCCGGGAGGCCUGGGCCGCUGUGUGAGGGCGUCCAGCUACCUGGCUUGAGAGAGACGCGGAAGGAGAGCUGUCCCGCUGUUUCAGCUGAGCUGCCAGACGUGAGUGAUGCCGUCCUGGAUGUUCCAGCCUGGUUCCCAGCUGAAAACAUGUGGAGUAGAGACAAGCCAUCCCGAGUCACCUCGCCCUCUGCGCCUUGCCCAAGUUACAGAAUCGAGAGCAAAUAAACGGUUGCUGUUUUAAGCCACUGUGUUUUGGGAUAAUUUGUUAUCCAGCAAUAGCUGACUGAAACAAGCUAACGUUUUUUGAGAUCUUACCAUUUUAUGUGUUGGCUCAUUUAAUCCUCAUGGUCAGCCUGUGUGGUAAUGUUGUUACUGCCAUUAUUCUGAUGAGGAAACGAGGGCACAGAGAAGUUAAUGAAGUUAACUUCAUUAGCAAGAUAUCCUGGCACGUCGUCGGGCUGAGUACGUGGUAGCUGCUGUUAUCAGCAUCGUUUCCUCUGUAUUAAAAUUUCUGUGAUUGUUACAGAAGUGGUAGGAGGGCAAAUAAAAGCAUUAUUAACCCACUUACGAGUGGUAUGAUUUUAGAUAUGUGACUUCACCUCUCUGAGGCUCAGUUUCUUCACUGUGAAAUGGAGAGUAUAGUACUAUUCAUCUCACGGGGUUACUGUCAGGAGGCAGGGUCUGACAGAGAGCAAAUACCUAAUAUAUGGCAGGGAUGAUAAUUACUAUGAAGCAUGCAUCCAGGUUGUGUGGACAGCGAUCUUAGCACCACAAGGAUGAAGCCAUUUUCUUGGAAGCCCUACUGGAAAGACAGAAAUGUCCUUGGUGAUACUGGUGAAGUGCUGGAUCAGGCCUUACCUGAAGUGAGAUUACUUCUGGACUUUGUCAUUAGGGAAUACAAUAAAUCUUUUUGCAUCAUUUAAGC
rnacentral:lncRNA from 1 species